GCUCAUUUUCCGUUUGAACUAAUUCGCGCAUUGCGCAGAAACGUAUACUAAUAAUAUUUUAGGUGUUCGGCCACACAAAAAAUAGUAAACUCUCAGACUCGAGAAAUACACACACAAAUAAAAUCCGAACUUUAAUUUAUCCAUCUAAAUCCAUGGCGUUGGAGGAGAACGGCGGUGGAGAUCUGAAGGAGCAAGGUGAACAGGAGUCGUCCGAUUGGUCCAAAUUGUCGGCUGAUUUGAAAGUUGAGAUUUUGUGCCGGUUACCGGAAAAACCUCUGAUUGCGUUCAAAAGGGUGGCCAAAGAUUGGUACUUUCUGAUUUCUUAUACUUGUGUUCCUAGAUUAUCUCCACCAUCUCCUUCUGCCCCUAUCUGUGGUACCUUUGGUCCUGGCUUUACUAGUGACCCAUCCAAGUCCACCACUGUAGUAUUCACUCCAUAUGGACAUUACCAUACCCUCUUUCAUCAGCGCCGUUCACUGAAUAAAGUUCACUUGUACGACUAAGGAUCUACAGGAUUGUUGCAAUGGUUUGCUUCUUAUAUCCUGCAGUGACGACGAACGCACUCAGUAUUUAGUUGGUAAUCCAGCUACGAGGCAAACUAUUCCGAUAUCUGUUAAUUCAAAGCAUCAAAAUUCCAACUUGGUGGACUGUUCGCUAGUUUUUGAUCCAGGCGAGUCCUUAGAAUACAAGAUUAUUUGGUUUGUUCACUCGGUUGGUAAAGUCACUAUUAGAUUGGUGGAUGUUUAUUUUUGUGGAUGUUUAUUCUUCUGAGACUGGAUCGAGUACAAACUUCCUGUUGAACCAAAGGUUUCUGGAGUAGGGUGGCUUAAAACUUCCGUCUAUCUAAAUGGAGUUCUGUACAAGAUAUCUCGUGAUGGAUGCCUCAUUUGCAUAGGCGUAAAAUCCAAUCUUGCUAAUUUGAAUGCUUGGUCUACCAUUGAAUUGCCAUUUCAGCUGAUCACAGAUGAGUAUGUAGGUUCUAUCGGAGCAUCAAGAGGCCAUCUUUAUUGCUUCAAUCGAGAUGCAUCUUGCUUUCUUCUUUGGAAGCUAAAGAAUGGUGUUCAAUGGGUUUUGGAGUACAGUAUAAGCAUAUAUAGGCUGAUUCAUAGUUCUUUUGGCGGUUAUUACUGUAAGGUCUUGGGAGAUAAGGUCUGGACUACAUUUCAGCCUUGUGUCUUUCUUCCUAUUUUGGACGAAAUUCUCAUUGAAACUCCUUGGUUCCUCGUAACUUAUAGUCCUAAAGAAAACAAUUUUGAGUGGUAUGACAUAGAGAUGUGGCUGUAAGACAAGAAGAUAAGGGCAUUCUUUUCCUUACUCGCGAAGCCUUGUUGUCCUCAAUAGCAUCAUCCAUAGGGAUUAUGAAUCAUUUGCCUUUUCAAAAUGAUUGAAUAAUUAAUCAGCCGAGGACAGCAAGUUGAUGCGGUACAUUUCACUUAUGAAGUUGGACUUGCUGAUAGGUUCCCUCCUGUUCCCCUUCUGAAAGCUUAUCUAAAAGAUGCGAAAAAAGCUGCUACUGCAAUUCUCGAAGACCCAAAUAAUUCUGGUCGAGCUGCGGUAUCAUCCACUUCUUUUUCUCCUGUUAUGUAUAUUUUCAUCUAGCUUUCCUGUAUCUUGUUUAAAUCUUUUCUCCACAUUGUCUUAACUGUCUUGUUCUACGUUAGUGGUAGUUGGCAAUAUCUGUCCUGACUCUCUUUCUGCUAUCCUCUCCCUGCCUGUGAAUGCAGCUAGGUUCAGUCAUUUUUUUUUUUUUGGAUAAAUAUUGGGUGCUCAGUUUUGCCAAGAUUUACAUAUUUUCCUUUGUUCUUGAAGAGGGUCUAGACAUAGUCAGAAGUGUUGCCCUAAUCAUUUGACCUAAUGUUGGAAGAAACUUUAGUUUCUCUCAUGCCAUUUAUGCCAUUGAAGAAAGACUUAAUUUGGGUUUGGAGCAUCGACAUGUUGACAGGUUUGAAUUCUUCAUUCUUUUUAACACUUGUGAUUGCUUGUUAAUUACAUUUUAGGUUAGUUUAACAUUUUAUUAAUUUGGUAAUUAAAUUGAAACGGCUGCUGCAUAAAAACUAAGUGUCUAUAUGUGUAGUUGUGUAUUCUCAUUGUAGUCACUUGUCCUCUUUGAGAAAUUUAUCACUGUUUCUAUGCUCGAACAGGAAGUAUAUCAUAAGUUUGAAAUAGGAAGAUUAUCAGAACUGCAACAACUUCCCCUGAAUUCCAGUUUCUUUCAAGGUUAGAUUACUAAAGGUGAUGGGACGUUGCUCAAAAUUGCAGGCUCUCUUACAACCAUUUUUGGAAUACUAAUUUGAUGUCGAUUUUUCAGUUAUGUUCUAGUUGGAAUUCUAACUGGAACACUUUAAUAGGUAAGUAAGUUUCUAUCAACUAAAUGAAGAGUAUUUGUAGAUGAAUUUAGUCAUAUCUUAUAUCAUUGAAUUGAAGGAAACAUGGAUAACUAACUUGUUCCACAUUUUUCUCAGCAUUGAUCAUUUAUGAUCCGUUCUAUUUAUCAUGGGCUUUUGUACUUGCUUUUUGCUGCACUUCUUUGUUAUUUAGCAGUAGCCAGAUUAUCAACCUUUCUCUGCAUUGAAAUUUCAGAACUUCCCUGGCUUUGAAGUCUAAGUUUCAUCAUACUUGGAACAGAAAAGAUAAACUUCUUGAAACUAUUCAUUGGCUGCAUCAUUUUAAUCAAACAAUAUUUACUCUAAUUGUUUAGCUGAUUUGGUUAUUAAAUUAUUCAUUUGUUUUCUAAAUAAAGUAGCUAGUAAGAGUUUUUUUACUAAAGUGACAUGACUUCUUCUUUUAACGGAUCAAGAACUUGAAGGCUCAAGAACCUAUCCUUGAAGAAUGUCCGGAGCAAGUUGAAGCACAAUAGAGUUUUUGUUCUGUUAGCAGUGGUUUAAAGAUUUUGUCAUUUGUACAUCGUGCUGCGGUUCUACUGUCUGUUUUUAGGAGUUGAUAAAAAUAGUGUCAUGCAAUUUGUAUGGGUAUAUUUAUAGACAGUGUGAUCCUUCAGUUCUUUGUAAUAAACAAUGAAACUUUAGAGAGUAUGAAUUUUGAUUAUUUGGUA